rnacentral:rRNA from 1 species
UGAAAUUCUAAGAUUUUCUGGAGACAAACAACUGCGAAGGCAUUUGUCUAAAAUACUUCCAUUAAUCAAGAACGAAAGUUAAGGGAGUGAAGACGAUCAGAUACCGUCGUAAUCUUAACCAUAAACUAUACCGACUAGGUUUUGGAUGAAAGUAAAACAAAUAAGGAUAGUCUCUUCGGGGAUAGUCCUUAGAUUUCUUCCUUCAGUACCCUAUGAGAAAUCAAAGUCUUUGGGUUCUGGGGCGAGUAUUCGCGCAAGCGAGAAAGUUAAAAGAAUUGACGGAAGGGCACCACCAGGCGUGGAGCUUGCGGCUUAAUUUGACUCAACACGGGAAAACUCACUAGUUUAAGACAAGAGUAGGAUUGACAGAUUAAUAGCUCUUUCUUGAUUUCUUGGAUGGUGAUGCAUGGCCGUUUUUAGUUCGUGAAUAUGAUUUGUCUGGUUAAUUCCGAUAACGAACGAGAUCUUAACCUGCUAAUUAGCGGUAAGUACGACAUAUUUUUAUAUCGAAUUGGAU